GAUGAACGCUGGCGGCGUGCCUAAUACAUGCAAGUCGAGCGAACGGACGAGAAGCUUGCUUCUCUGUUGUUAGCGGCGGACGGGUGAGUAACACGUGGAUAACCUACCUAUAAGACUGGGAUAACUUCGGGAAACCGGAGCUAAUACCGGAUAAUAUUUUGAACCGCAUGGUUCAAAAGUGAAAGACGGUCUUGCUGUCUCUUCUAGCUGGAUCCGCGCUGCAUUAGCUAGUUGGUAAGGUAACGGCUUACCAAGGCAACGAUGCAUAGACGACCUGAGAGGGUGAUAGGCCACAUUGGAACGGAGACACGGUCAAGACGCCUAAGAGAGGCAGCAGUAGGGAAUCUUCCGCAAUGGGCGAAAGCCUGACGGAGCAAGGCGGCGUGAGUGAUGAAGGUCUUCGGAUCGUAAAAAUCUGUUAUGAGGGAAGAACAUAUGUGGAAGUAACUGUGCACAGCUUGACGGUACCUAAUCAGAAAGCCACGGCUAACUACGUG
rnacentral:rRNA from 1 species